rnacentral:rRNA from 1 species
AUUGAACGCUGGCGGCAGGCCUAACACAUGCAAGUCGAACGGUAACAGGAAGAAGCUUGCUUCUUUGCUGACGAGUGGCGGGCGGGUGAGUAAUGUCUGGGAAACUGCCUGAUGGCGGGGGUUAACUACUGGAAACGGUAGCUAAUACCGCAUAACGUCGCAAGCCCAAAGAGGGGGACCUUCGGGCCUCUUGCCAUCGGAUUUGCCCAGAUGGGAUUAGCUAGUAGGUGGGGUAACGGCUUACCAAGGCGACGAUCCGUAGCUGGUCUGAGAGGAUGAACAGCCACACUGGAACUGAGACACGGUCCAGACUCCUACGGGAGGCAGCAGUAGGGAAUAUUGCACAAUGGGCGAAAGCCUGAUGGAGCCAUGCCGCGUGUAUGAAGAAGGCCUUCGGGUUGUAAAGUACUUUCAGCGGGGAGGAAGGGAGGAAAGUUAAUACCUUUACUCAUUGACGUUACCCGAAGAAGAAGCACCGGCUAACUCCGUG